UACGUAGGGUGCAAGCGUUGUCCGGAAUUAUUGGGCGUAAAGAGCUCUGUAGGCGGCUUGUUGCGUCGGCUGUGAAAUCCCGGGGCUUAAACUUCCGGGCGUGCAGCCGAUAACGGGCAGGCUAGAGUCCGGUAGGGGAGACUGGAAUUCCUGGUGUAGCGGUGAAAUGACGCAGAUAUCAGGAGGAACACCGGUGGCGAAGGCGGGUCUCUGGGCAGUAACUGACGCUGAGGAGCGAAAGCGUGGGGAGCGAACAGG
rnacentral:rRNA from 1 species